AUUGAACGCUGGCGGCAGGCCUAACACAUGCAAGUCGAACGAGUCGCGGGCGGGUGAGUAAUGUCUGGGACACUGCCUGAUAGAGGGGGAAAACUACUGGACACGGUAUCUAAUACCGUAUACCAUCGGAUGUGCCCAAAUGGGAUUAGCUAGUAGGUGGGGUAAAGGCUCACCUAGGCGACAAUCCCUAGCUGGUCUGAGAGGAUGACCGGCCCCACUGGGACUGAGACACGGUCCAGACUCCUACGGGAGGCAGCAGUUGGGAAUAUUGCACAAUUGGCGCAAGCCUGAUGCAGCCAUGCCGCGUGUAUGAAGAAGGCCGUCGGGUUGUAAAGUACUUUCAGCAGGGAGGCGUUACCGGCAGAAGAAGCACCGGCUAACUCCGUGCCAGCAGCCGCGGUAAUUC
rnacentral:rRNA from 1 species